rnacentral:rRNA from 1 species
ACGGCUCAGUAACACGUGGAUAAUCUGCCCUAAGGUCAGGCAUAACACCGGGAAACUGGUGAUAAUUCCUGAUAUACCAUAGAUACUGGAAUGUUCUGUGGUCAAAAGCUCCGGCGCCUUAGGAUGAAUCUGCGGCCUAUCAGGUCGUAGCGGGUGUAACGUACCUACUAGCCGACGACGGGUACGGGUUGUGAGAGCAAGAGCCCGGAGAUGGAUUCUGAGACAUGAAUCCAGGCCCUACGGGGCGCAGCAGGCGCGAAAACUUUACAAUGCGGGAAACCGCGAUAAGGGGACACUGAGUGCCAGCAUACAAUGUUGGCUGUCCGCAUGUAUAAAUAGCAUGUGUUAGCAAGGGUCGGGCAAGACCGGUGCCAGCCGCCGCGGUAACACCGGCGGCCCGAGUGGUGGCCACUAUUAUUGGGUCUAAAGGGUCCGUAGCCGGUUUGAUCAGUCUUCCGGGAAAUCUGACAGCUCAACUGUUAGGCUUCCGGGGGAUACUGUCAGACUUGGGACCGGGAGAGGUAAGAGGUACUACAGGGGUAGGAGUGAAACCUUGUAGUCCUUGUGGGACCACCAGUGGCGAAGGCGUCUUACCAGAACGGGUCCGACGGUGAGGGACGAAAGCUGGGGGCACGAACCGGAUUAGAUACCCGGGUAGUCCCAGCCGUAAACGAUGCUCGCUAGGUGUCUGGGAUGGUGCGACCGUUUCAGGUGCCGCAGGGAAGCCGUGAAGCGAGCCACCUGGGAAGUACGGCCGCAAGGCUGAAACUUAAAGGAAUUGGCGGGGGAG